rnacentral:lncRNA from 1 species
ACCAUUCCACUUAUAGGUUAAACCCAACUCGAACACCUAGUAAACAAAAUACAAACACAACCCCUGCUGCCAUAUUUCCACCUUCAAGUGAAGCCCAAAUGGUCUAAUCAGCCUAAUGCCACCUCAAUUGGCCCUAAAAGCAUAAGCAUGGCACAUAGCGGCUAUGCAGUGGUGAACAACUCAUUGGCAAUCAGAUCGUCGACGCAAAGCACAGCUUGUUGACCUACUUGGCACACUGUCGACGUCGCCUCUGUCAUGGCGUCGGAGAGUAUGGGUUGGGUAGAGAAAGAAGCCGCCGAAGAGUAUAGAGGUCGGAGUAUAAAGAGAUAGGGGAAGAGAGAGAAUGGAUGUGAAGAAAUGAUUUGGGGAUUAAAAUUGAAAUUGUAGGGUGCACUAUAGGUGGAUGUAGAG